rnacentral:rRNA from 1 species
GACAGAGGGUGCAAACGUUGCUCGGAAUUACUGGGCGUAAAGCGCACGUAGGCGGCUUUGUAAGUUAGAGGUGAAAGCCUGGAGCUCAACUCCAGAAUUGCCUUUAAGACUGCAUCGCUUGAAUCGCGGAGAGGUGAGUGGAAUUCCGAGUGUAGAGGUGAAAUUCGUAGAUAUUCGGAAGAACACCAGUGGCGAAGGCGGCUCACUGGACGCGUAUUGACGCUGAGGUGCGAAAAGCGUGGGGAGCAAACAGGG